ACUCAAAUGAAUAGACGGGGGCUCACACAAGCGGUGGAGCAUGUUGCUUAAUUCGAGGCAACGCGAAGAACCUUACCUGGGUUUGACAUGGUCGGAUUAACUCCUGGAAACAGGAGCCACACCCGCAAGGGUGGAACGAUCACAGGUGCUGCAUGGCUGUCGUCAGCUCGUGCUGUGAAGUGUCGGGUUAAGUCCUCUAACGAGCGCAACCCCUAUCGUUAGUUGCUCACGCGUAAUGGCGAGUACUCUAGCGAGACUGCCGGUGUCAAACCGGAGGAAGGCGGGGAUGACGUCAAGUCCUCAUGGCCCUUACAUCCAGGGUUGCAAACGUGCUACAAUGGCGCGCACAAAGCGACGCGAGGCCGCGAGGCGGAGCAAAUCGCAAAAAUCGCGCCCCAGUUCGGAUUGCAGGCUGCAACUCGCCUGCAUGAAGUCGGAAUCGCUAGUAAUCGCGGAUCAGCUACGCCGCGGUGAAUAAGUUCCUGAGCCUUGUACACACCGCCCGU
rnacentral:rRNA from 1 species